GCAAUUCCUCUAUUUGCUGCAGAGUGACUAGGAGGAAGCCCAAAGAGAGAGUUGGACCUAGAAUCCUCUCCUAGGUAAAGGAGUUCAGCAAGAGGCCAGCAGAGAGAGAGAAGCUAGUGAGGUGGGGCAAGCUUUGGUGGUGAGUCCUGAAAAAAAGGCAGGAUUUGGACUUGUAGGGGCUGAGUAUAGGGGCAUUCAGUUGAGGCCCAGAGAAGGACAGAAAACUUCUUUCUUUUGUUUGUGUUUUCCUGUCAAAUACCUCACUUAGGUCAGUGUGUAAGGCAGAUACUAUGGGGUAUUAUUACACAAGCUUGAAACAAGGCAGAGAAUGCUCUCCAAGCAGGACUGUGAGGAUGAGUUAGCUGUUUACAUGGUGCUUUGAGAGCCUUGGGUGAAAGGUGCACCUUGGGUCAGUUCUCAGUAUAGGGCUUGAGCACCUUACGGCUGAGGUGGAGAGUGAUGCUGGUCUGCAAGGUUCUGCGGGAUGGAAAUGCCAAGGAAGGAGAGGAGCCAGCUAGCCGGCCACAGUAGCAGUCUGCAGAGGUGCCGUAUUCCCUUGGUUUAAAUGGAUGACCUUCCACUUUGAAAUUAAACUUCUAGCCCAAGAUGUCCCCAGGCUGUUGACUUUUAGGCUAUUUCAUUAAAUGUUUGUUCUUGGAGAAUAUCUUCUGAUUUGUAUUAAAUUCUAAGAUUCCCAAGCACCUAGAGCUACUGGAGAAAGAGUUUUGGAGGCCAAUCUAAAUAACUAAAGCAAUAGAAAUAAAAUGGUCUGAAGAUA